rnacentral:lncRNA from 1 species
CAAGGCCUUACGUAGUGACGCCACCUCAACGAACUCACCACAGUCCUGAGGCUGGCUUUGUCCUGAUUUCUGAAAAUGGGUCCAUUGGCUAGGACCAGUCACAGGAGGAAGCUCACAAGGCUGCACUCCAGAGCAGGUGUUGGUUGGUUCAUCUACAGCCAGAACCAACUUCCCAGGGACUAAGCAGCAUGUGUUCAUGUGCUCUCUAUGUGAGCAGGUGCAGGUGGCUAUAAGAGCAUGGGUCAGAACAAGGAAACACAGUAGAUGGCAUGAUCCCAGUGGCCAAGGGCACAAGUUGACAGGGCCUGAAGGAUCUAUGUUCUCAGGAAGGAACAUGGUCACCAGGGAGACCAGAUACCCCACAGUGAGUCUGGUGACCACAUUCCCUUCUCACCAGCCCUGCCCACAUUUGCCCCUGUGAAUUACCCUACCCCUUUUUUUGGGCGUUUCCACAUUCUGGUGGUGGAUAUUUUAAUUUGUUCACCUCAUGGGCUGGGAAUCUCUUUUCUCUUAAAGGUGACAUUGCAUAGUUGAGCCUCCAUCAUCUCUCACCUGGACUGGUGCAGUCUUCUCCAAGACCCUAGGCUUCAGAAGCAGACGAGGGAACGAGCAGAAGAACAGAAGAACAGCAGAAUGGCAUGGCAGAGAGAAGAAAGGGACCAUCUGAACGCCAAGAGAAAUUCAGCUGGGGGAGGUCAGAGAGGAGAUAGACUGCAGGACAGCCAAGCUCCAGGGGAAGAUCAUCUUCCCACUCCAUCCCCUUUCCAGCUCCCCAUCCAUCCCGCUGAGAGCCACCUCCACCACUCAAUAAAACCCUGCAUUCACCAUCCUCAAGUCUGUGUGUGACCUGAUUCUUCCUGGAUGCCGGACAAGGACCUAGGUACCAUGAGGGCACUGAGCUGGUUAACACUUAAGCUAUCUGCAGGCAGCACAGCUAAAAGAAUGCAUGGUAACACAUGCCUACUUGGGCUUUGGGAGUUGCAGGCACCCACCCCUAGAAGCUACCAUGGGGCUGGAGCCCCAAGGUGCUUGCCCUGGC